UGAAGAUACGUCAUUGAGUGCAGCGUUGAUGUCAAACUUAUUUCAAAAUUCUAACUUUUCCCAUCAGCGCUUCAUUCAAUCACGUUUCUU
rnacentral:pre_miRNA from 2 species